GAGCAGAAUUUCUUGGGUCUGUUAUGAAGCUGAUGUAAUGAUGUGGAAAACCGGCCCCACAGCAAGUUAGAAGAGCUGAAUUCAGUGGUGAUGAUGGAGACGAGGAUGUGGAAUACAACAGGCAAGUACACUGAGAGAUGUUUGAGGCAUUCAGAUACUCUGGAUACAAGUGUCUCAUUGAAACUGAUAAACAAGUACAGAAUAAAUAGAGAAGCCCUCAGAAAUGCUGUGAGCUGCUCACCAGCAUGUCCUUGGAUGCAUGCUCCUGUUCAAGUCAAGAGCUGUUCUGCUUGCAACUCAGGAAAGUACGUGGUUAAAAGCACUGAUCUACAGUCUUUUUUUAUUGCUUUUGAGAAGUUCAAAAGACCUACACCCACCAGCAGCAGAAACUUGUGGGAGCUGAACAAAGGAAGGGUGCUAGGAGUCUGUUAACUGCUUGUGGUUGGAUCUGCAUGCUUCUUCCCCUGAUGUGUGAAAUGCAUGUGUAUGUAUAAAAUAUAAGCAGCUUGAAAUGUGGUUUACAUCAAAAUGUGUUAUUUUUUUUAAAUAUAUGUAUAUACAAACGGAGCCUAGUCUGUUCCAAAACAUGUUUGAACUAUACAGAAAUGAAGAAUCAAGUUUAAGCUUGAUUGCCUAAUCAAUUUGUAUAGAUGAUACUUGGCAGAGCAGGGAUAAUGGUAACUUAAUUGGUCAGGUGUUUUCUGGAAAAAAUAAAAGAAAAAAAAGUCUUUUUUUUUUUCUCA
rnacentral:lncRNA from 1 species